rnacentral:lncRNA from 1 species
GAGGACAAAAAUGUUUUAUAUUCGUUUGCACAAAGCUGCUUAAAAUUACCUGAAUAAUAGUGCUUAAGAAACUGGACAAAUACCUGAAUAAGAAAGUGAACGUUGAGCAGACGGCAACAAAAAGAGCCCAAGACUAGUCAUUGUGAUUCUCAUUAUCAUUGACACAAAAAUAUGACCUUGAUAUUAUCUUAGGGACAAGCACCUUUUGGAUUCAAAUCAGCCCAUGAUGAAAGGA